GCGCACUUAGGGACAAAACAGUUGCAACCCAGACCCAAAAUGCGUCCAAGUUAACCUCCUCCUCCCAUCAAAACUCCCAUGGAAUCCAAGCACCCUUCUCUCUUUCUCGCAAGUCUCAACUGAAAGAAAAAGGCCCAGAAAGAGGGAAUAAAAAUGGCUGAUCAACUCAUCGAGACCAACAUUCCACAACAGAAGCACUAUAAUUCCGUUCCUUUCCCUGUGGUUCUCUCGCCAAAAUCAACAAUUCCUUUCUCUCUAUCGCUUUUCAGACAAACGAUUAACACCCAUAAACCCUUCAUCGAUUCCUUGUUACACACGGCAGGAGCGGUGCUCUUUAGAGGUUUCCCUGUCACUACUGCUGAGGACUUCAAUUACGUCGUUGAGGCGUUUGGUUACGAGGAGUUGCCCUACGUCGGAGGUGCCGCUCCUCGUACUAACGUUUUGGGUAGAGUCUUUACGUCCAAUGAGUCCCCUCCUGAACAGAAGAUUCCUUUCCACCAUGAAAUGGCCCAGGUCCCUGAAUUCCCAUCAAAACUAUUUUUCUUUUGUGAGGUAGAGCCAGUAAGUGGAGGAGAAACUCCUAUUGCUCUUAGCCACAUUGUGUAUGAGAGGAUGAAGACGAGGCACCCAGAAUUUGUUGAACAAUUAGAGGAGCAUGGUCUGAUCUACACACGAAUAUUGGGGGAAGACGAUGACCCUUCAUCUCCAAUUGGCCGCGGGUGGAAAUCAACAUUCAUGACAAAGGACAAGAGUGUGGCUGAGGAAAGGGCUAACAAGCUGGGGAUGAAGUUGGAGUGGAUGGAAGAGGGAGUGAAAACUGUAAUGGGUCCAAUCCCAGCUAUUAAGUAUGACAAGUCAAGACAACGUAAAAUUUGGUUCAAUAGCAUGGUAGCUGCUUAUACAGGCUGGGAAGAUGCUCGGAAUGAUCCUGUGAAGGCAGUCACUUUCGGGGAUGGGAGACCACUCCCAGGUGAUAUCAUCUAUGAUUGUUUAAGAAUCCUUGAAGAGGAAUGUGUUGCCAUUCCGUGGCAGAAAGGUGACGUUCUACUUGUAGAUAACUGGGCAGUCCUCCACUCUCGAAGGCCUUUCAAACCUCCUCGCCGUAUUCUAGCCUCACUUUGCAAAUAGCUUUUGAUCAGACCUCGCAUUGUCAACUGCUUCUCCUCUGUGGUUAAAUGCAUUAUACUUGUAUGUGGUGGGAUUGCAGUUUUUUCGUUGGUGAGAUGAUGAAAUCGCCUCUAAAUACUAUUGGAACCUGCUUUUCAAAAUAAAAAAAAAGAUAAUUGUAUAAGCAGACAACUUAGUAAUCAUGUUUGUGGGUGGAUUCUGAAUUGGUAGAUGUUGUAUGAUGAUACAAAAGAGAUUCGAGGAAGGCAACAAAAAAUAGGGCAAGAAGUCAAGUUGACCAAGAAGCUUAUUGAAGAUUGAUUUAUUGAGAAGAUCUUAGGGACUAGACUUGUUUAGUAGUUAUUGAACCAAUAUGCUUUGCGUCGACUGUAAGUGUACUCUUAAUGGUCUGUGGGUUACGUUUAGCUUCAUUUGCAAUGUAUUAUGCUGUGUAAUAUAUGGCCGAAGGAUGCUACAAUUGUUAGUUUGACAA